AUUUAAAUAGUUUAUUAUAAAAUAUUAAUUUUUGGAAUUAAAGAUUAUAUUAUAUUUAAAUA
rnacentral:tRNA from 1 species